rnacentral:rRNA from 1 species
UAAAGAGGGUGCGAGCGUUAAUCGGAAUUACUGGGCGUAAAGCGCGCGUAGGCGGCUUUGCAAGUCGGGUGUGAAAUCCCCAGGCUUAACCUGGGAACUGCAUUCGAGACUGCAUUGCUAGAGUAUGGGAGAGGGAAGUGGAAUUUCAGGUGUAGCGGUGAAAUGCGUAGAUAUCUGAAGGAACAUCAGUGGCGAAAGCGACUUCCUGGACCAAUACUGACGCUCAUGUGCGAAAGCGUGGGGAGCAAACAGG